UACGGAGGGCGCAAGCGUUACUCGGAAUCACUGGGCGUAAAGAGCGUGUAGGCGGACUAAUAAGUCAGAAGUGAAAUCCAAUAGCUUAACUAUUGAACUGCUUUUGAAACUGUUUGUCUAGAGUGUGGGAGAGGUAGAUGGAAUUUCUGGUGUAGGGGUAAAAUCCGUAGAUAUCAGAAGGAAUACCGAUUGCGAAGGCGAUCUACUGGAACAUAACUGACGCUGAGACGCGAAAGCGUGGGGAGCAAACAGG
rnacentral:rRNA from 2 species